CUGUAAUUCUCAAUAUUUUUUCAUUUUAUAUCUCACUGUUGUAUGACUUUGGAUAUUCUUCUAUUCUGAUUUCUUUUUAUAAAAACUUCUUUGUACAUGUACAACUCUUUCUUCUGAUAUUUUUUUUCUUUCUUUUCUUGAUCAAUUUGUAAUCUGUAUUAGAAUAGUGCUUAGUCUGUUAAUCAGUACUAUGUCUAUUAAACAGAUUAAUCAAAUCUAAAUAUUUCAUUAAAUUUCUGUAUAUAGCAAGUUUUGAGAUGAUCUAGGUUAAGAUAGCUAGAUGGAAGAUUUGUAGGAACACAUCACACAUGUUGGUGUGUGGGGGGGGUUGGGCACUCCACCGCACAUGAUUACCCCUAUAUAGUUAGC
rnacentral:sRNA from 1 species